CAACUUCAGAUCUCAGAUCUUUAUCUGAGCUGCCAACUUGAAACACAAACAAAAGCAUUAAAAGCAAAUUAAUCAAAACGAAACUUCAGUCCCAGCUUGCAGCUACAUGCACGCCGUCGCCAUGCCAACGGUGAAAACCCGUCUGGACCCGUGAAGGUUUCACCUUUAACCCCUUCUCCAGAUUAGCGGCUGCGCGGUUCCGCUCUUCAGGUCCAGAGUCCAGCCUGAAGGAGGGAGUUUUCACGGUCCCGUUUGGACCAGAACCGCUAAAUUAACCUGCGCAGCUACAAAUAAUUCCUAAUGAUUCGGUUCUGGACUGAAGAAUCUGGUCCAAAACAACCCGAUGAGUGAAGUGAUCACUCCCUGCUGCUAAUGAGCUAAAGCGUCACUGUUGACCCAACUCCAGUCCGUUUGUCUGGAAAGUCCGGUCCRGUCCGUUUGGUGAGCCGUGAACCUGAACAUGUGAACGCGAACCGGACCGGAGGCCGUUUUAAAAACAGGAAACGGACUACAGCGCACGGCAUUCUGGGAGGAAGUUGCCCUCAGUGGCCCCUUCAGUAGCUCUUGGUGCAGCGCCCCCACUGGCGAGGAGGGGAACARGGUUUUCAAACAGUUUGGUCCGUUUGACAAAAGAGAAAAACGGAGCAAAUGCUGCAGCUCUGRUCCCCAAUCAAACCGAGUUUGAAGGAGAAAACAUUACAAAUCGAGCCAAACGGGAGGAUUUUCCAGCUGAACUCUGUAAACUCUCUGGUUCGCCCACAUCUCGCUUCACAAACCAAAAUGGAUUUGAUUCCAUUCAUUCCUCAAACAGCCGAAUGAAGCUUCAUAAAUUCCUCCUGAUAAAACCAAAGUUCAUCUCCGCGCAGGAAAAAAAAACCUGCAUUUAUGGUUUAAACUGCCUGCAUCAGCAGUCAGCUGGCGGCUGACGGUCCAGAGGAAAGUUAAUGUGUCACCAGCUUCACCGCAGGUUGGUGUUUAAUCUCCACCCUGAUGGCUGAUGAUGGCCGCCUGAACCGUUUACUCUGGAAUAAAAACACCUUCUGAUGGAUCYAACACUAAUUCCAGCCACUUCGCUACAUAAUUCAGUCAAACUGUUAAAGUUCAGUUCCGCCUGUUGCAGGUCACCAGGUGUUCCGGUUAAGCCGCGGCCCCUUUAAGAGCGUUUCACCAAACUGAACCUCCAUCCUGACCUCUGAGGGGAGCAGAUCUCUGACCCCAGCAGACAGGUGAACCAUCAGCCUCUUACCUGUUCGCUGCUCGGAGUCUCCGCUGUUCUGCCGCCAACUGACAGGCUGCGGUCUGAGGCGGCGCCGUGGGCGGGGUCAGCUCACCUGCGGCGCACCGGCGCUCUGACGCACCCGUGGGAGGAGACAGGGCGGGACGGAGCGCCGCAGGACUCAGAGGGCGUUUUUAUUUACACCAGCAUGGUUUGGAUUCCAGUUAGAAAGUUUUUCAGAGGCGUGAAAUAUUCCUUUCUCACCGUGUAAAAAACCUUUUAUGGGGAUAACAAAAGCUAAUCUGUCCAUGUUUAGAUAUUUCUGGAAUGUUCUCUGCUCUAAAUGCCAAAAAAACUAAUCAAACGUUUGUACUUUUCACUGAUAAAAACUAAAUGUGAUUUUAAAACCA